rnacentral:rRNA from 1 species
UAGCAUAUACUAGCGGAGAAAGAACAACGGGGAUUCCCAUAGUAACUGCGAGUGAAAGGGGAACAGCCCAGCGCCGAAUCCUGUUGCUGGUAACGGUAACUGGAACUGUGGCGUGAAGAAGGUGGUUAUUGACGUGGCUUGCCUGCGUAAGUUCUCCUGAGUGAGGCUCCAUCCCAUGGAGGGUGCAAGGCCCGUAUCGUGGGUAGUCUACGUUGAUAUACACUUUCGGAGAGUCGCCUUGUUUGCGAGUACAAGGUGAAGUCGGUGGUAAACUCCAUCGAAGGCUAAAUAUGACCACGAGUCCGAUAGCGAACAAGUACCGUGAGGGAAAAUUGAAAAGCACUUUGAAGAGAGAGCGAAACAGUGCGUGAAACCGUUCAGAGGCAAGCAGAUGGGGCCUCGAAGGCAGAGCAGCGAAUUCAGCUGGUAGUCUGUGUGGCUGGCUGGCUUUGUGAUCGUAAGACGCAAGUUGGUUAUGCUAGCGCAGCUGCUAGUGCACUUUCGCUGUUUGUACGCCACCGCCGUUGAGCGAGCAUCCGUCGUGUUGAACGUGUGAAGCCUUAUUCCUUUACGGGCGUAGGUGCUUACUGUCCGACUUGUACGCGCUUGCGCCUCAACCGGUCAUGUCAGCGUGUGCCAGCGUUAGCGUUGGGCUAGUAUGCUCUGUUGGUCGGUGUGAGAUGACGAACUUGUUCGGCUCUUCAUCGUCUAGUAGACUCGUUGCUAGUUUUCAACGUGGGCACAUGUAGAUUCGGUGGCGAGUAGACGGCUGCCCAUCUAACCCGUCUUGAA